rnacentral:rRNA from 1 species
UACGGGGGGAGCAAGCGUUGUUCGGAUUUACUGGGCGUAAAGGGCGCGUAGGCGGCCACCGCAAGUCGACUGUGAAAUCUCCGGGCUUAACCCGGAAAGGUCAGCCGAUACUGCGGGGCUAGAGUGCAGAAGGGGCAACUGGAAUUCUCGGUGUAGCGGUGAAAUGCGUAGAUAUCGAGAGGAACUCCUGUGGCGAAGGCGACUUUCUGGGCCUGCUUUGACACUCAGACGCGAAAGCAUGGGGAGCGAACGGG